GCCUGGCUGGCUCAGUUGGUAGAGCACUCAAUUCUUGAUCUUAGAGUUGUGAGUUCAAGUCCCAUGUUGGGUG
rnacentral:tRNA from 1 species